rnacentral:rRNA from 1 species
GACGAACCGAGCGAACGUUGUUCGGAAUCACUGGGCUUAAAGGGCGCGUAGGCGGGAUGGCAAGUCGGUCGUGAAAUCCCUCGGCUCAACUGAGGAGCGUCGAUCGAAACUGCCGUUCUUGAGGGUUGCAGAGGAGACUGGAAUUCCCGGUGUAGCGGUGAAAUGCGCAGAUAUCAGGAGGAACACCGGUGGCGAAGGCGGAUCUCUGGGCCAUUACUGACGCUGAGGAGCGAAAGCGUGGGGAGCGAACAGG